rnacentral:rRNA from 1 species
UACGUAGGGUGCAAGCGUAAUCGGAAUUACUGGGCGUAAAGCGCACUAGGCGGCUUGGUAUGUCGGGUGUGAAAUCCCCGGGCUCAACCUGGGAACUGCAUCCGAAACUGCCUUGCUCGAGUAUGGGGAGAGGGAAGUGGAAUUUCCGGUGUAGCGGUGGAAUGCGUAGAGAUCCGGAAGACACCGGUGGCGAAGGCGGCCUGCUGGGCAGUAGCUGACGCUGAGGCGCGACAGCGUGGGGAGGCAAACAGGG